CCUGGCCGGCGGGUUGUACCCCGCCCCUGCCAGGGUCGGUGGUGCUGGCGCGCCGACUGGCGGCCGGUGGGCUGCCCUGUGCGUGUCUCUUUAAGGGGCUGGGCCUGCAAGGCUGCAGGGCGGGCGGGGUGCGCGUCGCUUCGGGAGUGAGUGUGUGAGGGUGAGAGCGGCGGGCGGGCGGUUGCUGGAGGGAGGGAGGGAGGGAGGGAGCGAGCGAGAGAGCGAGAGAGCGGGCGGGCGGGCCAGCCAGCCAGCCAGCGACGCCGGCCGCCCCUGCCGCCGCCGCGAUCGGACCAGCGGCCGCCUCCCCUCCGGUCCCCUCCCCCGCAUCGGCCUGCCGCGGGGAGGGGGCUAGCGUCGCCGCCUCCAGCCGCUCCUCAUGAAGCCGCUGCCGUCGCAGCAGCCGCCACCGAAGAUGGGGGAUUUCUACGAUCCCGAGCACCCGACCCCUGACAUGUUUUCUUGGCUGAAUGGGAGUAGAGAAGAAGAAAAUGAGACAUAUCACAAACAGGCAAAGAUUGAAAAUGUGCAGAAAACAGGUUUCAUCAAAGGACCAGUGUUCAAAGGUGUUGCUUCAAGUCGAUUUUUGCCCAAAGGCACGAAGACAAAAGUUAAUUUGGAGGAACAGGGACGGCAAAAGGUGUCAUUCAGCUUCAGUUUUACAAAGAAAACUUUACAGAAUAGAUUUCUCACUGCGCUUAGCAAUGAAAAGCAAAGUGAUUCUCCAAACUCCCCAGCUCCCCCUCUUCAAGUAGACUCAAACCCUAAAGUUAAAAUGGACGCUGGAGAUACUUUUCCUGCUACAGAAGAAUCUUCGCCACCAAAAUCGAGAGUGGAAUUGGGCAGAAUUCAUUUUAAGAAACAUUUGCUUCAUGUGACAUCUAGGCCACAGCUGGCUGCAAGUACAACAGCAGCAUCUCCCCUUCCUCCUACAACACAGUUACCAGCAGUCUUAGCAGAGUCGAUGAUAGACUCACCACCUUCAUCUCCACCCCCACCUCCUCCACCUCCCCAGGCCUCAUCACCCUCACCACCAGCACAGAUAUCAGAGCCAGUGGCCUUGCCGCAACCCCCAGCAACAGCACUAAUGACAUCACCACCAGGACCUUUACCAGGAGACGUAGCCGUGAGAGCUCAGAAAGAAUCACCAGUUAAAAGUGGACCCGAAGUUUUAGAGGUGGAUACAAAGCAAGAUAUUGUAUCUAAUAGUUUGGAAGAACACACAGUUCAAACUUUGAAGGAACAAGCAGAUCAUCUCCUGCAAAAAGAAGAUUCCCAUAUUGGGAAGGAAGAAGAGGUUUCAGAUGGCUCUAAGAUAAGCCUCAGUUCUAAAAAAGCAAGUUCUAAGAAGAAAUCUUCACAAUUUGAAGGCACAUUUCUUGGUUCAGAGUCUGAUGAAGAUUCUGUACGGACUUCUUCCAGUCAAAGAUCACAUGAUUUAAAAUCUUCAACAAGCAUUGACAAGGAAAGAGAUUUUAAGAAGAGCUCAGCACCUUCAAAAAGUGAGGAUUUGGGGAAAUCAUCAAGAUCGAAAACAGAGAGAGAUGAUAGAUAUUGUAGCUACUCAAAACUUGAACGAGAUACUCGGUAUGUAUCUUCCCGAUGUCGGUCCGAAAGAGAUCGAAGGCGAAGCCGAUCUCGUUCUAGAUCUGACAGAGCCUCUAGAACUAGUUUGUCUUAUUCUCGCUCAGAAAGAUCUCAUUAUUAUGAUUCUGAACGGCGCUACCAUAGGAGUUCCCCUUAUCGUGAGAGGACACGCUAUUCUCGGCCAUAUACUGAUAACAGGGCACGGGAGAGCUCAGACUCUGAAGAUGAGUAUAAGAAGACAUACCCACGGCGUACCUCAGCCCAUUCCUACAGAGACCUAAGGACAUCAUCAUCUUACUCUAAAUUUGAUCGGGACUGUAAAACUGAGACCUCUUACUUAGAGAUGGAGAGAAGAGGAAAGUAUACUUCAAAACUAGAAAGAGAAUCCAAACGGACUUCAGAGCAUGAAACCAUAAAAAGAUGUUGUUCUCCCCCAAAUGAACUGGGAUUCCGACGGGGGUCAUCAUAUUCCAAGCAUGAUAACAGUACUUCCCGUUAUAAAUCUGCCCUUUCAAAAUCUAUAUCCAAGAAUGAUAAAUUUAAAAAUUCUUUCUGUUGUACAGAAUUAAAUGAGGAAAACAAACAAUCUCAUUCGUUUAGUUUGCAGACUCCUUGUUCAAAAGGUAGUGAAUUAAGAACAAUUAAUAAGAUUUCUGAAAGAGAAAAGACUGGGUCUCCAACUCCAUCAAAUCAAUUAAACGAUUCACCUACUUUUAAAAAGCUAGAUGAAUCUCCUGUUCUUAAGCCUGAAUUUAUAGGACACGAUGGCCGUGAAAGUAUUAAAGAAUUGGAGUUAUCAAAAGUGAAAAAUGAUCAAUUAAGAAAUUUUUGUUCCAUUGAAUUAAAUGUAAACGGAUCUCCAGAGACAGAAGCUGAUGUGGCAACAUUUUGUACUUCUAAGACAGAUGCUAUAUCAAUGACUUCUGAUGAUAGUGUGACUGGAUCAGAGGUAUCCCCUUUGAUCAAGGCUUGCAUGCUUUCAUCAAAUGGAUUUCAGAAUGUUGGUAGAUGCAGAGAAAGGGACUCAGAUGAUACUUGUAGGCAGCAUAAUACGUCAAAAAGUCCAUUUAGGGAAAUGGAACCUUUGUUGUCACCACACCAUGAUAAACUCAUGUCUUUGCCAGUUAAGACUAUAGAUUAUCCCAAAACAUUAAUUAAAGAACCAGUUGAUAAGAGACAUUCUUGCUGCAAAACCAAAGAUUCAGAUAUAUACUGUUCUCCAAAUGAAAACCCUGAAGCUGAGAACGCUGAACCUUCAGCUAUGACGAUUUCUUCACAUAGCUUUGUGAAUGUGCAUUUGGAAUCCAAGACAGUUAUAUGUGAUAAUAGGGAGCCGACAGACCGGCACUCAGAGAAUACAUGUGAUGAAUAUAAGCAGAGCAUUGGUAGCACUAGUUCAGCUUCUCAUAACCAUUUUGAUGGUUUGUAUGAGCCUAUAGGGAGUUCAGGUAUUUCAUCUCUCCAGAGUCCUCCGUCAGGAAUAAGAUGUGAAGAAAACACAUCUCCAACUCUAGAUGCAGUGGAGAGUAAAAAAGGCAUAGAUUUUUUAAAGUAUGCACGGAAAGAAACAGAUGUUGGUAGUGCCCUUCCUGAUUCAGGAAAAGGAUUUUCUUGGGAAAACAGGCAUAAUAAUGUGUUAUCUGGGCAGUCUUUGCAAGAGGCUCAAGAAGAAGGGAAUUCCAUAUUGCAUGAGAGAAGAGGAAGACCAGAAAUCCCCUUAGAUGAGGAACAAAGAGGCCAUACACAUAUUUCUGAUGAUUCAGAAGUGGUAUUUCCUUAUGAUUUGAACUUGACCAUGGAAGACAGUGAUGGUAUAACCUACACCUUAAAAUGUGAUAGUAGUGGAAAUGCUCCAGAGAUUGUAUCUACUGUCCAUGAAGACUAUUCUGGAUCUUCUGCAAGUUCAAGCGAUGAAAGUGAUUCUGAAGAUACAGAGUCUGAUGAUAGCAGUAUUCCAAGAAACCGACUCCAGUCUGUUGUGGUUGUGCCAAAGAAUUCUACUUUGCCCAUGGAAGAGACAAGUCCCUGUUCUUCUCGGAGCAGUCAGAGCUACAAACAUUAUUCUGACCGCUGGGAAGAUGGAUUAGAGACCAGGAGACAUGCAUAUGAGGAAGAGUAUGAGAGUAAAGGCUGUUCUCAAACUGAAAAAUACUUCCUUCAUAAAGGAACAGAGAGAAGUGCAGAAAGUUGUUAUUCACAGUUUGGCAGGAAAGCAGAUAAUCACCUGCCUGACAUUGCUCAUGCUCAGAGUGACGGGGUUGAUAGUACAAGUCAGACAGACUCGAGAUCUGACCAUCUAGGUCACCUGAAUCCAGAGGACACAUUAAGAGCCAAAACAUCUAGGCCACAAGAGCUACCAGUUUAUUCUGACGAUUUUGAAGAUCUCCCAAAUAAGUCUCGGCAGCAGAUGAUUUUCUCUAAUCGGCCAGAUAGUAGUAGACUAGGAAAAACAGAGCUGAGUUUUUCUUCCUCUUGUGACAUUUCCCGAAUGGAUGGCUUGCACUCAUCAGAAGAGCUCAGAAACCUAGGGUGGGACUUUUCCCAACAGGAAAGGCCCACCACCACAUACCAGCAGCCUGACAGCAGCUAUGGAACCUGUGGUACACAUAAGUAUCAACAAAGUACUGAACACUAUGGUGGGACCCAUAAUUACUGGCAAGGCAAUGGCUAUUGGGAUCCAAGAUCAGCAGGUAGACCUCCAGGAACUGGGCUUGCUUAUGAUCGAAUCCAAGGGCAAGUACCAGAUUCUCUAACAGACGAUCGUGAAGAAGAGGAACAUUGGGAUCAACGAAGUGGAUCACAUUUUUCAAGCCCGUCCAAUAAAUUUUUCUUCCAUCAGAAGGACAAGGGAUCAGUGCAAGCACCGGAAAUAAGCAGCAAUUCAAUUAAAGACGCUUUAGUUAUGAACGAAAGGAAAGAUUUUUCGAAAAACUUUGAAAAAAAUGAUAUAAAAGAGAGAGGGCCUCCUAAAAAACGAAGGCAAGAGUUGGAGAGUGAUUCUGAAAGUGAUGGUGAACUACAGGCUAGAAAGAAAGUUAGAGUGGAGAUGGAGCAGGGAGAAUCAUCUGUGCCCCAGCACUCAGAACUGAUGGGGCCUUCGUGUGCUAUGGAUGACUUCAGGGACCCACAGCGGUGGAAAGAAUUUGCCAAGCUGGGGAAGAUGCCAUGUUACUUUGAUCUUAUUGAAGAAAAUGUUUAUUUAACAGAAAGGAAGAAGAACAAAUCCCACCGGGAUAUUAAGCGAAUGCAGUGUGAGUGUACACCUCUUUCUAAGGAUGAAAGAGCUCAAGGUGAAGUAGCAUGUGGAGAAGAUUGCCUUAAUCGUCUCCUCAUGAUUGAAUGUUCCUCUCGAUGUCCAAAUGGAGAUUACUGUUCAAACAGACGGUUUCAGAGAAAACAGCAUGCAGAUGUAGAAGUCAUACUUACAGAAAAGAAAGGCUGGGGCUUAAGGGCUGCUAAGGAUCUUCCUUCGAACACCUUUGUCCUGGAAUACUGUGGAGAGGUACUUGAUCAUAAAGAGUUUAAAGCUCGGGUGAAAGAAUAUGCACGGAACAAAAACAUCCACUACUACUUCAUGGCCCUGAAAAAUGACGAGAUAAUAGAUGCCACUCAAAAAGGGAAUUGCUCUCGUUUCAUGAAUCAUAGCUGUGAACCAAACUGUGAAACCCAGAAAUGGACUGUGAAUGGACAGCUGAGGGUUGGAUUUUUUACCACCAAACUAGUUCCUUCAGGCUCAGAAUUAACUUUUGACUACCAGUUCCAAAGAUAUGGCAAAGAAGCUCAGAAGUGUUUCUGUGGGUCAGCCAACUGCCGGGGCUACUUGGGAGGAGAAAACAGAGUCAGUAUCAGAGCUGCAGGAGGGAAGAUGAAAAAGGAACGCUCUCGAAAGAAGGAUUCAGUGGAUGGAGAACUUGAAGCACUGAUGGAAAAUGGUGAAGGCCUCUCUGAUAAGAACCAGGUUCUUAGUUUAUCCCGGCUCAUGGUUAGAAUUGAAACUUUGGAACAGAAACUUACCUGUCUUAAGCUCAUUCAGAACACACACUCACAGUCCUGCCUCAAGUCAUUUCUGGAACGUCAUGGGUUGUCACUGUUGUGGAUCUGGAUGGCAGAGCUUGGCGACGGCCGGGAAAGUAACCAGAAGCUUCAGGAAGAGAUUAUAAAGACUUUGGAGCAUUUGCCCAUUCCUACUAAAAAUAUGUUGGAAGAAAGCAAAGUACUUCCAAUUAUUCAGCGCUGGUCUCAAACUAAGACUGCUGUUCCUCAGUUAAGUGAAGGAGACGGGUAUUCUAGUGAGAAUACAUCACGUGCUCACACACCGCUUAAUACACCGGACCCUUCUGCCAAGCCGAGCACGGAAAUGGAUACAGAUACUCCCAAGAAACUCAUAUUCCGCAGACUGAAGAUUAUAAGUGAAAAUAGCAUGGACAGUGCAGUCUCGGACGUCACUAGUGAGCUAGAAUGCAAGGAUGGCAAAGAGGACCUUGAUCAGUUAGAGACUGUCACUGUGGAAGAGGAUGAAGAGCUGCAGUCCCAGCAGCUCCUCCCACAGCAGCUGUGCGAGUCCAAAGUUGAGAGUGAAGCCACUAUUGAAGUCAGUAAGUUACCCACAUCUGAACCGGAGGCAGACACGGAGACAGAGCCCAAAGACAGCAAUGGCACAAAACUAGAAGAAACUAUUGCUGAGGAAACACCAUCCCAAGAUGAAGAAGAGGGAGUGUCUGAUGUUGAAAGUGAGAGAAGCCAGGAGCCACCAGAUAAAACAGUGGAUAUAAGUGAUUUGGCUACCAAGUUACUAGACAGUUGGAAAGAUCUAAAGCUUCUCAGGGCAGCAAGGAGCUUGUUAACAUCACCAGCUGACCAUGUGUCUCCUUUUCUCAACUCCAUUUCCAACUUCGUGCUGAAGAAAAACAAGACCCUAGCGUGCAUUCUGUGAAGAAACAGGAAGAUGGUUGGGAAGUUGGAUGAUGCAUGAAAAGUGUAAUAGGUGAAAAGAGGACAGAGGUGGUUAACUCACUGGCGCCGGCCUUGUUUUGGAGGUGUAUCGGAUUCCAAAGAAAAGUCAAACUGAAAAGGAGAGCACAGUAGCUGAACGAGGAAGAGAUGCUGCUGCCUUCAGAGAUCAAACAGCUCCAAAGACUCCUAACAGGUCUAGAGAGAGAGACCCAGACAAGCAGUCUCAAAAUAAAGAGAAAAGGAAACGACGGGGCUCUCUGUCACCACCCUCUUCUGCAUAUGAGCGGGGAACAAAAAGGCCAGAUGACAGAUAUGAUACACCAACUUCUAAAAAGAAAGUACGAAUUAAAGACCGAAACAAACUUUCUACAGAGGAGCGCAGGAAGUUGUUUGAACAAGAGGUGGCACAGAGGGAAGCUCAGAAGCAACAGCAACAGAUGCAGAACUUGGGGAUGACAUCACCACUCCCCUUUGACUCUCUGGGAUAUAAUGCCUCUCAUCACCCCUUUGCUGGGUACCCACCAGGUUACCCCAUGCAAGCCUAUGUGGAUCCCAGCAACCCUAAUGCUGGAAAGGUGCUUCUGCCCACACCUAGCAUGGACCCUGUGUGCUCCCCUGCUCCUUAUGAUCACGCUCAGCCCUUGGUAGGACAUUCUACAGAAUCCCUUGCUGCUCCCCCAUCUGUGCCAGUGGUGCCGCAUGUGGCAGCCUCUGUGGAAGUUUCCAGUUCUCAGUAUGUAGCUCAGAAUGAAAGUGUUGUACACCAAGACUCCAAUGUUCCUGUAAUGCCAGUACAAGCUCCAGGCCCAGUCCAAGGACAGAAUUACAAUGUCUGGGAGUCAAACCAACAGUCUGUCAGUGUACAACAGCAGUAUUCUCCUGCACAAUCUCAAACAACCAUAUAUUAUCAAGGACAGACAUGUUCAACUGUCUAUAGUGUGACCUCGCCUUAUUCACAGACAACUCCUCCAAUUGUGCAGAGUUAUGCCCAGCCAAGUCUUCAGUAUAUCCAGGGACAGCAGAUUUUCACAGCUCACCCACAAGGAGUGGUGGUACAGCCAACUGCAGCCGUGACUUCAAUAGUUGCACCAGGGCAGCCUCAGUCCUUACAGCCACCUGAAAUGGUUGUAACAAAUAAUCUACUGGACCUGCCACCACCCUCCCCUCCAAAACCAAAAACGAUUGUUUUACCUCCCAACUGGAAGACAGCCCGAGACCCUGAGGGGAAGAUCUACUACUACCACGUGAUCACAAGACAGACUCAGUGGGAUCCUCCUACUUGGGAAAGCCCAGGAGAUGAUGCCAGCCUUGAGCAUGAAGCUGAAAUGGACCUGGGAACCCCAACCUAUGAUGAAAACCCCAUGAAGACAUCAAAAAAGCCCAAGACAGCAGAAGCAGACACCUCCAGUGAGCUGGCAAAGAAAAGCAAAGAAGUAUUCAGAAAAGAGAUGUCUCAGUUCAUUGUCCAGUGCCUGAAUCCUUACCGGAAACCUGACUGCAAGGUGGGCAGGAUCACCACCACUGAAGAUUUCAAGCACCUCGCCCGAAAGCUGACUCAUGGAGUUAUGAAUAAGGAGCUGAAGUACUGUAAGAACCCCGAGGACCUGGAGUGCAAUGAGAAUGUGAAACACAAAACCAAGGAGUACAUCAAGAAGUACAUGCAGAAGUUUGGGGCUGUUUACAAACCUAAAGAGGACACUGAACUAGAGUGACCUCAGGCCAGAGUGGAGUAUGAGCGGAAAGGAUGAAUCCUGUGGCUUCUGCCCUACCCCACGGCCAAGGCUGUGCUACUGAUGUGAUGACCCACCAUCCUGAGCAGUUCAAACCUGCAGGUGUCAGCUGUAAGCUGCAAAAGUGAGCUCUGUCUCCAAAUGACCCCUAGUUGUGAGCUGUUGGUGUAACAGUUACAGGCCAUCAGAGGCAGUAGCCUAGGGAAGACCUUGGCCACACGACCCCAUUCUCAAAUCUGGGUCUCCCCCUUGGCGGUGCUGUCAGCGCACAGACCCAUGCGCACCUCCCCCAGAUCCUUUACCCUGACAAUAUGUAUUAUAUUUUAAUGUAUAUGUGAAGAUAUUGAAAAUAAUUUGUUUUUCCUGGUUUUUGUUCUGUUUUUGUUUGCUGUUAGCAUCUAUGUGCUGGAAUCAAGGAAAGACUUUGUGAGGAUAGUAUAAAUUCUCCUGCAAGGUUGGAUUUGUUAUCAUGUAAAUAUCCCAACGCAGGCUGCCUUGUGGUUUGGCCGCCUUGUGCUAUGUUGAUAAGAUUGAUUUACUGCUUCAGAUCACUUUACUUUAUCCAAUUUUUACUGAACUUUUUAUGUAAAAAAUAAAAUCAAUUAAAGAACUUGGAA